rnacentral:rRNA from 1 species
UACGUAGGUGACCAGCGUUGUCCGGAUUUACUGGGCGUAAAGGGCGCGUAGGCGGCUCGACAAGUCCCGCGUGAAAGCCCCCGGCUCAACUGGGGAACUGCGCGGGAAACUGUCGGACUUGAGUUCGGGAGAGGGAAGCGGAAUUCCGGGUGUAGCGGUGAAAUGCGUAGAUAUCUGGAGGAACACCGGUGGCGAAGGCGGCAUCCUGGACCAACACUGACACUGAGGAGCGAAAGCCAGGGGAGCAAACGGG